rnacentral:rRNA from 1 species
UACGAAGGGGGCUAACGUUGCUCGGAAUCACUGGGCGUAAAGCGCGCGUAGGCGGAUCGUUAAGUCGGGGGUGAAAUCCUGGAGCUCAACUCCAGAACUGCCUUUGAUACUGGCGAUCUUGAGUCCGGGAGAGGUGAGUGGAACUCCGAGUGUAGAGGUGAAAUUCGUAGAUAUUCGGAAGAACACCAGUGGCGAAGGCGGCUCACUGGCCCGGUACUGACGCUGAGGAGCGAAAGCGUGGGGAGCAAACAGG